ACUCCCCUCCCCUUCCCCUUCCUCCCACAUCACUCCAGUCCACGCGUCCCUUGAUCCGGGCGCUGGCAGGUCGCAUGUGAAUCUGAGCAUCCGUUUCUUUAUUUAUUUUUAUUUAUUUAGAGAUUUCUUUACAUAAUUUUUGAUUUUUGGGGAGAUCGAUGGAGCACUAGCGGAGGUUCCAUCUUCCUUUUAGCUUUCACGGCAUUAUUACACCCGCCUGCUAAGUUCAUAGCAAGUCAAACCUGACUGGGUGUGGGGCUUCCGGAUUUCCUUUUCCACUUCCUUUUUGUUUUGUUUUGUUUUGUUUUUUCGCCUCUUUUGAUUUCCUGCAAUUGAGCUUAAUACAGUUGAUUCAGAUAGUGGAGAAGCUAACUUGUAGGGGCCAAUUUGCUUGAGAUCUUGUUUCUGUAUUUUACCACUUCGCCACCCCACAUGUGUCGAUUACCAAGCAGAUCGAAGGGUCUCGGGUGCCACCGAAAUAUACGAAGCCUGGAGAGAUCGUUCGGCAGAAGAGGACAUGAAGAGUGAAUGCUGGACUGGCAAGCGUUGAUACCUAAACAAUUAUCCGAAGAAAUCGAGCAUGGGGAAGGCUGUAAAGAUGCCCAGCUACUACGAAUUUAGUCUUUGAUCAAGUCGCAAACAGGAAACGAGUGAGGUGGGGGAUUCUCCAAAAUGUUCAUAACUCCAGCCCCUCUAGUUACCAAUGCGGUACCUCGAGUAACGUGGGUGCAGCGAAAAACCAUGUAGCGGUACGUUUCUCUGACCUUGGUUGUGAUUAUUUGAAAAAAAGAAAACAGGGAUUUAAAAUGACUUCAUGCAACUGGAAUCGUUUCUUGAGCCAAUCGACGGUUGAUGAUUGAGUCCCGUGCGUACUACUGCUUAAUUACUCUAAUGGUGUGAUAAGUGUUAUGGGCUUCUCCCCCCCCCCCUAAUUGAGAGGAAUUCGUGUUUCUAUUAAGACACAUGCAAUUUUUCGGCCGUCGAUCUGGGUUCUCGAGGUUGGUCUUGGCAGGCUGGCAGAGAUCUUCCAUCUCGGAUGCUCCUGUACAGUGUACAAUUUUCGUUCCAGAAGCAGCGCGGUUUGCGUUGCAAGGUUUGUGAUGAGUUGCAUGGUGACUUGGAUGGAGAUGGCGAAGGAGGAGGAAGGUCAUGAGAUCCUUGUUGGCCGCGACCAAGUUUGAACAGACCAGUUUCAACCGACUUUGUCAGAGAAAGAGAGAGAAGGGGGGGAGCCAGUCAUGUCAGGAACAAGAGAGCGUCAGAGGAGGAGAUGGAGGUGGAGGAGGGACAGCAAAACCCAAUUGUGGGGCCCAACGAGAGCAGAUGCCGCUUCUUUCCAUCGCCACCAUGAUACUGGGGCCCCUAGAAAAAGCUGUGGUUUGGAAUCAGGGUGGAACGAAACAAGUAGGAAACAGCCGAAAGCAGCGCAAGGAAAGGAGCAGAAACCAAUAUAGAAUUAAAAAUAAAAAAAUAAAAAACACAUGAUGCCGACGACAACGACGAUGACGCUGGUGUUGCAGCAGCUGCCCUCGAUCCAUGAGCAGCAAGCUCAGCCCAGCUUUCCCUGGGUGGGCGGAAAUUGCGCUAAUGACUGCCUAAAUCCGUCAAGUCCAGUGCCGUUUCCACCACGCUUCUCCGCAGCAGCAUGGCGAAUAUGGGAUGGGAUGGAUUGAUGGGCCACGGGGAUCGCUGUGGCCUUGAUUGAUUGGUUGCUCAUGGGGGCGUGAUUGCUCCGUCUUCUACUUGCUCCCCUCUCUGCUGCUGUCAUGGCGAUCGAAGGCUGAAUCGGCGAUCUGCCUUCGCAAUCCGGUCUCAAUCUUUCAUUCUCAUUUCCGGUUUCAGACAAAAUCUUUCUACACGUGGUGGAUCCGACGGAACUUCUUCUACUUCUAAUUAUUAUUAUUUUCCAUAAUCCCCUUCAAAUCGAUAUGGCCUUUCCUUCUUGUUCCUCUACUGCUGCUACUUCUUCUCUACUUCUUCUUUGCUUUUUCUGGAUCUUCGACGAGCUGGUCUUCGGCUCCCUCGUCGUUUAGAUUUCACACGUCCUGCUGCUGGUGCUGCUCCUCCACCUCCUCCGCCGCUGGUCCCUCUGCUUGUGCUGCUCAAUUCCUCACCAUGACCGAAAAACUUACGUCAUCUUUUUGUUUCCACUAAACACUAAAGAGUAGAAAAAUACAACGAUGCGCUGCUGAUUCCUUUUGUUUUAUAGGCCUCUCGUUUGUUGUAGAUUGGAACAAUUUUCUACUUGGUUUUUCUUUUCUUUUUAAAGGGCAAUUGUUACAUGAAUUGUAUGUGAAAAAAUCGAAUUGACAAUGCAAUUUUCCAA